CACGUGAUGGCGCGGCCCCUGAGAGCCCCUCUCCGGAGGUCCUUUAGUGAUCACAUCCGAGACUCCACGGCCAGAGCCCUGGAUGUUAUCUGGAAAAACACCCGAGACAGACGGCUGGCAGUUGCAAAAUGAAAUUGAAUAUUUUAAAACCUAGCUAUGGACUGUCUCCUGCCCAUAUGAGAAGUGGCAGGACCCUGGACAAAUAUGAAAUGAAAUAUCAGAAGAGAUAGAAACUAAUUUUCAUUGAGGACCUAAUACAUUACAUCUCCUUGAGUGCUGAAACAACCAUUUAAGGCAGGUGUCAUUUUCCCAUUGACAAAUGAGAAAACACAACUGAAAAUGUUAAGUAACUUGUCAACAAUCACAAAACUAGUAAGACUUUAAAUGCGGAUGUGAACUCAAUUCUCCUGAAUGAAAAUCCAUGAUGUCCCUAUAACCUUAUAGGACUGAAGCAAAAAUCAAGAAGCAGAUGAUCAAUUAGGGGGGACAGAUAUGGGUCCCCCCUUUUAGAAACUAACAAAAAUCCCCUCCUGUCUCCAUGCUUUUCCAUAGCGUAUUUUUGUAAACACAAAAGUGAGAAUGUUAUUUCUUUCUCAUGCUUUUCUGUAUUUUCUUGACCUGUUACUUCAAGAAAGUCAGACUAAAGUUUUCUUUGUGAAGUCAAGGGUUUACACUUUGCCCCUGAAGAAAGUGAAGGAGGAGGAGCUGAAAGAUCUGAAGCGUUUGGAGGCUCUUUCUGUGCAGAUUGGAGCCAAUCCAGGAUGAAAUUUCCAAUGGCCUGCAGCAGUCUGGUAUGCUGUUAUGGCAGCCCAAGCAGACUAACACAGCAAUGCACUGAGAUUUGUAUAAUAUUACAUGUAUUCAGCUUAAUACUGUAUUAUUCUGCCCUUUAUUCUGCCCUGCUUACUUUUUUGUUGUUAUUAAAGUAUCCUCACCUUUAUGAAAUUAUGGUAAUAAUCGAAGUUAAUUAGGGUGAAGUGGACUAUGCAUUUACUUAAGAUAAUAAAAAUUAUCAAUACAGCCCUGGCCGUGUGGUUCAGUUGGUUAGAGCAUCAUCCUGAUACAUCAAGAUUGCGAGUUUGAUUCCCCGGUCAGGGAAAAUACAAGAGUCAACCAGUGAAUGGAUAAAUAAGUGGAACAACAAAUCUAUGUUCCUGUCUCUCUUUCUCUCAUCAAUAUAUACUUUUUUUAAAAAUUAGUAAUCCAAUCCUGUGCCCAUAUAGUUUGGAAUUUUACCAGUCUACAACUUCAUAAGUGUAGAAAUCGUUGGAGGAGAACAUGUUGAGUGAAUAAAUGAUGUUUUGUUGGCCAGCUGACUUCCACCAAGAGAACUCUGUGAACUACAAAGAACUGUCUAAGAUCUUUGCAGAAGCUUAGUAAAGCAGAUGGCAACAAUAUUGUCCUGGCAGGGAGUAGCAAUAUGUUGGGUCAAAAAUAAUCAAAUUAUAUUAAAGCAAUAAAAAGAGGCAAUGUGAAUGGAGCAGAGUCAUUUUGGUAGAUCUUUGUAUGAGAACAUUUAUUCAACACGUAUUGAUCCUCUCCCAUGUGCCAGGCACUGUGCCAGGUAAUGACGAUACAGUGGACAUGGCACAUUCCAUACAUGGAAGGUCUCUCUGGCUAGUACUCAAGUAGAGUGAAGGGAGUAUUGUGGUAGAAGUGGGCACAAUAUCCCAAAACAAUUCCAGAGAGAGGCCCCAACCCAGCCUGGAGGGUCCUGGCAGGCAGAGAGAAUGCUGGAAGAAUGACAUAUAGAAAGGCAAGAAAUGGCCAAGCAUAUAAGGGAUAGUUUUGGAUGGGGAGAAUAGCUUCAGGGUAUGCUAUUUGGUUUGUUAUUUUGUUUGUGUUGUUUGUUUUGUUAUUUUGGUUUGUGUUUGUUUUUUAAUCAGGAUGAAAGAGACUUUAAGCUG